GUUGCACAACGCGCUGAGCGGGCGCUGCGUGCCGCGAGAGGGCUCUGCUCGUCCAGCAAAACGGGCGGACGUUUUCCUCCCGAAAUAAGCAUGAAUUCAAACACCGCUGUAAAAACCAAGCGGUCCUCCUGAUGGCCCGGCUCGGGUGAGAGCGGCUUUUCGGGGCUUUUCGGAGUUGCUCUGUCUGCGUGUAUUCAAAGCAGCGCUGUUAUUUCAGGGCUCUCACUGUCAGACAGAGACAGCGGUGCUUUCACAUUUGCUCAGGAGGUUCCUGAGGACCUGGGACCUCCGCAGCCGCGCAGGGUCGGAGUUCCUCCACCCGCACAGAGCCAGGGUUCGUUGCGAGCUCCUCUGGGUGGCACAGCUGUGACACGUCCACCAUCACCCCUCUGCCAGCGCCUUGCAGUGCCAAUGGGUGCAGUUCUGUGCAGUGCAUCGCACGGGGGAAGCUGCCUGCAUGGCACACACGUGCACUGAACCUCCCCUGCGGUGUAGACGAACCCCGCCUCCACUCAUUACAAUUAAAAUUGGCGCAAAAAGACGAAGGUUGAAGGUUUUACGCCUCUUUGAGCUGUACCUGGGAGAGUGCUGCACCCCCGUGGUGCCGGCAGCACGCAGCAGUCAGAGGCUCAGCACUGCCUCACCGCUCCUCCCCUUGCGCAGGUGCAGCGCUGAGAUGCCACAAAUGCGUCGCAUCCAACGAGAACGACUGCAACAAGCAGGGCUCGCACAGCUGCCCUCAAUACGCGGACGCCUGCUCCACCAUCACUGCGCCCAACAGCAUCAUCAAGUCCUGCUCCUACAAGUCCUUUUGUGACCAGGCACGGCGCAGCUCCGGGGGAGCCACCCUGCACUGCUGCUUCAGCGAUGACUGCAAUGGGCCACGGGGCUCACGCAGCUCUGGAGCAGCCACGAUGCCACAGCUGCCCUGCCUUCUGGCUGCAGGGCUGGCGGGGACGCUGCUGCUGGGCAUGCCGUGAUGGGCACAGCAUGACCAGGGGGUGGCACGGCCAUGGGGAUGGCACAGCAUGGCAUCUCAGUGCAGUAGAAUAGGCCUUGCUCACCAGGAGCACGGCACGUAGAGUCACUCAAAUAAAGGCUGCAGCUGAAAGCCACA